GGUUAAAAAGCUCGUAGUUGGAUUUCUGUUGAGGGCGACCGGUACAGCCUUUGGUUGUCAUCUGGUUCGGUCUUGGCAUCCUCUUGGGGAACGUUUUCGUGCUUGAUUGCAUGGGGCGGAAUUCAAGACUUUUACUUUGAGGAAAUUAGAGUGUUCACGGCAAGCAAGUGCUUUGAAUACAUUAGCAUGGAAUAAUAAUAUAGGACCUUUGUUCUAUUUUGUUGGUUUCUAGAACUAAGGUAAUGAUUAAUAGGGACAAUUGGGGGCAUUCGUAUUAACACGUCAGAGGUGGAAUUCUAGGAUUGUGUUACGACGAACUACUGCGAAAGCAUUUGCCAAGGAUGUUUUCAUUGAUCAAGAACGAAAGUAUGGGGAUCGAAGACGAUUAGAUACCGUCGUAGUCUAUACCAUAAACUAUGCCAACUAGAGAUUCGGCGUCGUUCCACAAAUGACUCGCUGAGCAUCUUAUGAGAAAUCAAAGUUUUUGGGUUCCGGGGGGAGUAUGGUCGCAAGGCUGAAACUUAAAGGAAUUGACGGAAGGGCACCACCAGGAGUGGAGCCUGCGGCUUAAUUUGACUCAACACGGGAAAACUUACCAGGUCCAGACAUAAGUAAGGAUUGACAGAUUGAUAGCUCUUUCU
rnacentral:rRNA from 1 species